GACGAACGCUGGCGGCGUGCUUAACACAUGCAAGUCGAACGGAAAGGCCCUGCUUUUGUGGGGUGCUCGAGUGGCGAACGGGUGAGUAACACGUGAGUAACCUGCCCUUGACUUUGGGAUAACUUCAGGAAACUGGGGCUAAUACCGGAUCGGAGCUCCUGCUGCAUGGUGGGGGUUGGAACGUUUCGGCGGUUGGGGAUGGACUCGCGGCUUAUCAGCUUGUUGGUGGGGUAGUGGCUUACCAAGGCUUUGACGGGUAGCCGGCCUGAGAGGGUGACCGGCCACAUUGGGACUGAGAUACGGCCCAGACUCCUACGGGAGGCAGCAGUGGGGAAUAUUGCACAAUGGGCGGAAGCCUGAUGCAGCAACGCCGCGUGCGGGAUGACGGCCUUCGGGUUGUAAACCGCUUUCGCCUGUGACGAAGCGUGAGUGACGGUAAUGGGUAAAGAAGCACCGGCUAACUACGUG
rnacentral:rRNA from 1 species